rnacentral:misc_RNA from 1 species
GAUGAAGAACGUAGCGAAAUGCGAUAAGUAAUGUGAAUUGCAGAAUUCAGUGAAUCAUCGAAUCUUUGAACGCAUCUUGCGCUCCUUGGUAUUCUGAGGAGCAUGCCUGUUUGAGUGUCAUUAAAUUCUCAACUACACUGACUUUGAAUUGGUGUGGCUUGGAUUUGGGGGGAAAAUUGUUGUGGGCUUUUUGUAUAGUCUGCUCCCCUGAAAUUGAUUAGCGGUACCUUUGUGGAACUGUCUACAGGUGUGAUAAUUAUCUACAUCUUAGACAUCUGCUGGAAUGCUGCUUUCUAAACCUUACUUGUAUUGACAAUCUUGACCUCAUAUCAGGUAGGACUACCCGCUGAACUUAAGCAUAUCAAUAAGCGGAGGA